GUGAAUUUCACAAGAUGACAAUCGGCAGCAGUCACCCAGAGUUUCCUACAUCUCUACUGAAGGGACGUUCUGCGGUUGGUUACGGAGGUCAGGCUACAUUCUUAAUUUGUCGAUUGUAAUUGGCUACAUAGCAGCCUAAUAAAAUAACUUGGUCUGGGCGAACUGGUCCCGGUUUCCCAAAAACGUCACGUCUUGGUUAAUCUUUAGAAGCUUCGGAGGAGCUUAAUUAAAUCGAGCUGUUUCUCAAAGCUAUACGUAAUUUCACUAGAAAACGCUCUUUUAUUUAACGAAUGUCCCAGACCACUCAAACAACGUAAUCCUAAUCUGUCUCACUUAUGUUAAAGCUGUGAAUUUGACAAAAAAUGUAAAGUUCCUAUUUGUGGCUGGAAUUCCUGUAUUACCCAGUUUUUUGUGUUCAAAAAAAUUAAUUCAAAAUGACUUUGCAGUUGUUAAAAUCAAUAGAUGGAAAAAUAGAUUGUUAUACAAGAAUUGCAAACUGCAUACACAUUUGCAGUCGUAGGUGAACAAAGUGUUAUUUUUACGGCCGAUCUGUCGUCAUAGCCUAAAUCUUAAAGGUAAGAUUUGAAUCGAGAAAGUUGAUCCGAGACCAGCGUUGCCUUUGUUUCAAUACCAUUACUAUCGAGACAUGGUCUAACUACGACGUAGUUAAGGGAACGCUCCUUUUGCGUGUGGUUUGGGGAAAACCUCUAACCUACAUUUCGACCGUUGCAGGACAGACGCACAUUUUAAAUACUUAAUAGAAAAAAUAUAUAUCGCUUUUGGGAAACCGGGCCCUGGAAUUACUCUUCAGUUAAUUUUCACGCACGGCGUUUGGAAGGGUAUAUUGGGUAAUGAUGACACAAAAGUUGGCGGAGUCCUUUUUAUUCAGGUUCAUGGAGAAGAUGAAGCUGAUCAUCUGUCCUUAGUGAGCCCACCAUUGGGGGUGUUCACUCACGGGGGUAGUGGUCGCAUUUACCAGGGUCACUGGUAUGGAAGUGAUGAGACUUAUUUCAGUAAAAUCAUGUUCUCCCUCCAGGCAAAACUACCAUUAUACUCUGGACCAGUGAAGUCAGGGGAAACAACCUGAACAUCACAUCAUCUGAAUUUGGUUAUUUAGUUUGGUAAUUUAGUUUAGUUUUGUACAAACACGAUUCCAAAAAAGUUGGGACACUGUACAAUUGUGGAUUAAAACAGAAUGCAAUGAUGUGGAAGAUUCAAAUUUCAAUAUUUUAUUCAUGUGGCAUCCCCUCUUCUUUUUAUAACAGACUGCAAACAUCUGGGGACUGAGGAGACAAGUU
rnacentral:lncRNA from 1 species